rnacentral:misc_RNA from 1 species
GAUGAAGAACGCAGUGAAAUGCGAUAAGUAAUGUGAAUUGCAGAAUUCAGUGAAUCAUCGAGUCUUUGAACGCACAUUGCGCCCCCUGGUAUUCCGGGGGGCAUGCCUGUCCGAGCGUCAUUGCUGCCCUCAAGCACGGCUUGUGUGUUGGGCUCCGCCCCCCUCCCGGGGGGCGGGCCCGAAAGGCAGCGGCGGCACCGCGUCCGGUCCUCGAGCGUAUGGGGCUUUGUCACCCGCUCUGUAGGCCCGGCCGGCGCCCGCCGGCGACCCCAAUCAAUCUUUCCAGGUUGACCUCGGAUCAGGUAGGGAUACCCGCUGAACUUAAGCAUAUCAAUAAGCGGAGGA